rnacentral:lncRNA from 1 species
GGUUGAAAUUUGGGGAGGUUUUUUUUUUGUUUUAUUGAAGGGAAAAUGUUAAAAGCUUUAGUUGAGUGUAACACCCAUAAAAUUGUUAUGUUAUAAAAGUAGCAUAAAGUAAAAAUCGUGCAUAAUGGAUUCCUCGGUAAAAUUGAAUAAGGAAUAUAAUUAAAAAAAGAUAAGGUUGAUGGAUGCCAAAGAAAGUUUAAUUAAUAAGUAUGUAACACUUCACGCCCGACCCAUUUGCCAGAUCCGAGUAUGGUGCAUCACAA